CUCUUUCGGAGCCCUUUGGGUCUGCCGCCCCAUGCUGUCCCCUUGAGAGAGAAGCAUGGUGCUGUAUUGAGUGCAAUGCCCA
rnacentral:lncRNA from 1 species